AUUGAACGCUGGCGGCAGGCUUAACACAUGCAAGUCGAGCGGGGGAAGGUAGCUUGCUACCGGACCUAGCGGCGGACGGGUGAGUAAUGCUUAGGAACCUGCCUAUUAGUGGGGGACAACAUCUCGAAAGGGAUGCUAAUACCGCAUACGUCCUACGGGAGAAAGCAGGGGAUCUUCGGACCUUGCGCUAAUAGAUGAGCCUAAGUCGGAUUAGCUAGUUGGUGGGGUAAAGGCCUACCAAGGCGACGAUCUGUAGCGGGUCUGAGAGGAUGAUCCGCCACACUGGGACUGAGACACGGCCCAGACUCCUACGGGAGGCAGCAGUGGGGAAUAUUGGACAAUGGGGGGAACCCUGAUCCAGCCAUGCCGCGUGUGUGAAGAAGGCCUUAUGGUUGUAAAGCACUUUAAGCGAGGAGGGGGCUACUUUAGUUAAUACCUAGAGAUAGUGGACGUUACUCGCAGAAUAAGCACCGGCUAACUCUGUGCCAGCAGCCGCGGUAAUACAGAGGGUGCGAGCGUUAAUCGGAUUUACUGGGCGUAA
rnacentral:rRNA from 1 species